rnacentral:tRNA from 1 species
CAAAUUAUAGCAUAUAUAAAUGCUCUUUAUUUACACUAAAAAGAAAAUAAUAAAUAUUUAAUUUGA